rnacentral:rRNA from 1 species
UACAGAGGUCCCAAGCGUUGUCCGGAUUUAUUGGGCGUAAAGAGCUCGUAGGCGGCUUGUCGCGUCGAAUGUGAAAACCCGGAGCUCAACUCCGGGCCUGCAGUCGAUACGGGCAGACUGGAGUUCGGCAGGGGAGACUGGAAUUCCUGGUGUAGCGGUGAAAUGCGCAGAUAUCAGGAGGAACACCGGUGGCGAAGGCGGGUCUCUGGGCCGAUACUGACGCUGAGGAGCGAAAGCGUGGGGAGCGAACAGG